GCAUUCACACUUGGUUGCGAUGUAGAAUGCACAUUCCAUCAUGCUUCAGGUAUACACAUGGACAGACAUGGCUGUAUAUACAAAGUUCUGAAAUCUGGAAACGCAUUGUAUACCGUGAGCUGCCAUGCAUGGUGUCCAGAUGGCUUUUUUUACCAGCUUCCAAACUUAACGCCCUGUCUACAGAUUGCUAAUAACUUUGCUGAAAGAAGUUUAAGAUCUCAUAUAACUCAGUGCAUCCGAGGCAUAUGUGUUCAUGGAGAGUGCAGACCUUAUGCUCGUCGAGUCAACUGCAAGGUUCCAAUGACCAGAAAACACUGCUGGGACGAAUACGGGAACUAUUACCUCAUGCGACGUUAGGCUCUUUGGUCAUUACAGCUGUUGAUCGAUUCUUUGGAUUUUUCCUUCAAUAAAUCGAACAGACAAACUGUU